GCGGUCUUUUUUGUUUUUGCCAUUGGUCUUGUAUGUUCUUUUUCGAAUGAAAUUGUUAUCCCCCCUUUGGGUGAAUCUUCAUACUAUUUUGAACUUUAUAUCAAAUAAAAAAAAAUCUUAUAUAAGAUUAUUUUUUUUCAAAAAUCCAUGUAUGACAAAAUGCAGACUAAAUACCACCCUAUGUUAAAGUAUAAUGGCGUAGUGACAUUUGACCUAUACGUAAUGGCAUUCCAG
rnacentral:lncRNA from 1 species